AGGCAGCUGUGCCCCUGCAGACCAUGGAUCCACAGGGGAUGCAGAGAUCCACCCGCAGCCCAUGGGGGAGGUGCCCACUCCAGAGCAGGUGGAUUCCUGGAAAGAGGCUGUGACCCCGUGGGAGACCUGUGGAGAGAGGGGCCCUGUUCCCAUGCUGGAGCAGCCUGUCCUUGGAGGACUGCACCCCAUGAAAGAGUGACCCAUGCUGCAGCAUUUGGGGGGUGGUGUAGCUCAUGGGAUGGACUCACAUUGGAGAAGUUCACUGAGAACUAUCUCCCAUGGGAGGAACUCCACGGUGCAGCAGGGGAAGGACUCCUCUCCUGGAGCAUUGGGAGAAGCCGCAGGUGAUGAACUGACCAUAAUCCCAUUCCCUGUCUCCUAGCACCACUGGGGUAGGAGGUAGAGCUGGAAGGAGGGAGGGAUGGGGAGAAGGUGUUUUUAAGGGCUUAUUUUACUUCUCAUUAUCCUGCUUUGAUUUUGUUAGUAAUAAAUUCAUUUUAUAUCUCUAAAAUGAGCCUGUUUUGCCUGUGAUGGUAUUUGAUAAGUGAUCUCUCUUGAUCCUUAUCUCAACUUAUGAACCCUUCAUUAAAUUUUCUCUCCUCUGUCUAGCUGCAGAGGGGAGUGAGUGAGCAGCUUUCAUGGGUGCCUGGCAGCUGGCCAGUGUCAACCCAUGACAUGCCCUAAUUUAGGGAUAGAAUAAACUAAAUCCUUGGGUCCAAACCAUAAGUGAUAAAAGCUCUAAGGAAACAAUGCUGCUUUCAUACAUCCAACAUUUCUUCACUUGGAAUAACAGUUUGGGGAAUAUCUUUUGGGAAAUACACUCCAAAACUAUCCCAGGCACAAUGAGUUGCCCCAAAAAUAACAGCCCUCUUACUAAUGAUAAAGGAGCACUGGCCCUUGGUUCUUAUAUGCUUCUCUGAAAAAUCAGAAAAUGUUUUAAACACUAUCACAAAGUCCAUUAAUAUGGUAUUUGUUGGAACGGAACCUGGUAUUAUCUGUAGUUUUAGUUUUGUUGUCCAACAGAACUUUAAAAAGUCUCAGAAAUCAUUUUCUAUAUUUAGUUCAGUUUAGUUUUUGAUUUUUUUUUAAAUUUACUCAGUGCUCAGGCCCUUGUGUAGUCUGGGUUUGGCUGAAGACUUUUUUGAGAGUUUAAAAGACCUCAGAGACACAUCUAAGAGUUUAAACAUUAAUAAAAAGUGUUGGGGAAAAAAUGGGGAGAUUUUAAAAUGUGAUUUUGUUCUCUUCUGUACUGUAGCGUAUGUAGUAACAGCAGUACGUGCUUUUCUUAGCAUACUAUUAGCAUUAAAUUUUAAUAACAUAUAUAGGAUCUCUGGACUAUUAUACAUAAAUGAAGAAGACAAAACUCCUUUUCAGGUAAAAUAUGCAUAUUUCUCCUAUAUAUUCUUCUUUUUUUUUCCUGCUAUCUCUUUUAUCAUAAACACCAGAACUAUUUACAGUCCUUGAAGGAAGACAUAAAAUUUAAGACUGCAGGUACCGCUCCUAGGUUUUUUGAAUGCUCUAAAAACCAGCGAUUUAGAUUUUCUAAAUAGAAUCACUGUUAUAUUUAAUACAUGAUCUUUAUUUAUUUUUUGAGGGGAUAACUUGGAGAAGAGAGCUGAAGUUUCAUAUACCUUAUAAAACCAGCAUUCUAUCAUGUUGAUAUUUGUCUUCUUCUGUGAACAAUGGUUUCCAUUAGUGUCUUGUACAAUUACAUCUGUUUGAUUAUUAAUGUGUUCAUUAAAAGUAUUUUUUUACCCUAUUUCUACAUUUCUAUUGUUCAUUCUGGCUGGGAAGGAGAUUUCUUUCUAAAAAGACAAAGAGCCCAGUUGCCUGAAUCUAAUUGUAUUCUCAGUUUACUUUAAGCAGAGAUUUUAGUUGAUCUAAAGUAAAAAAUAUUGUUUUUUGCUGUAAGCCAAGUGAACAGAAUCUGUGCUUCCCCAUUUUUCCCUGUCUUCAUUACCUAAUUGUUAUUCCUUAUUACAAGGUGUCUGCCAUCAUGUUAUUUAUUUAUUUUGCAGCAGGUUCCUUUUCCUCCACACUUGUUCUAACUGGUAGUAAGCCCUUAAUGCCACAGUGACCAAUGGUAAAUCACCGUGUCUGACACUGGGAGACAAAAGAAGCAGGAGGGACCUGUGAAAAAUGCCUGCAAGAAGCAAAGCACAGCAUGGAUGGAGAUGAUUCACGUCUCUGCAGUGAAUCUUCAGUAAAAGAUUUCAUGGACCAUGUGGAGGCCAUAAAAUGAAGAGCAUGAAAUGAUCUAGGAGAAGUCUGAUUUAAGUGGCCUCUGUAAUUGUACACUGACAGUGUAACACAAAAACUCCGUAGCAGAAGUAAAGAUGAAGGUCUGGGGUCACUGCUGGUGAAUCCCACAGCAGAAGGAGGAAGAAAAAAGAAACAGACCCAACAUGACCUGAUGACCUGGAAGUUGUGCUGAGCAGGAUGCUGAGGACCUACUGGAGAUGAAUCUAUGGGAGAAAGAAGCAGCAGUGUUGAAGUCAAAAACCAAUAAAUGACUGCCACUGUCUUUGUGACUGUGGCUGUUACUGAAGCAACAGCAGCAAGAGUGGGAAUAUUUCCCAGGUAGUAACCAAUAUAGUAAGUGCUAAAAAAACUGUUGUGCUGUUGUAUGCUGGGUCACCUCAGAUGGAAUUGCAGGGAGAUACUAGGGGCUUUCCCUUUGAGUCCCACACAACCUCUGCCAUGUACAACCCAAGACAGAUUUACACAUGUGAAAAAAUUAAGAUUGGAAGUACAAGUUUACUCCGGCUACAUCUGAACUCGUUGUGAAGCUUGUGAUCCAUUUCCUUUGCAUUCCUCUUAUGCUGUUAUGCUCACAACACUGUCCCAGACAAUUAAAAAAUCAUGGACACUGUGAUAAA